UACGAAGGGUGCAAGCGUUACUCGGAAUUACUGGGCGUAAAGCGUGCGUAGGUGGUUCGUUAAGUCUGAUGUGAAAGCCCUGGGCUCAACCUGGGAAUGGCGUUUGAAACUACGGAGCUGGAGUGUGGCAGAGGGAGGUAGAAUUCCACGUGUAGCGGUGAAAUGCGUAGAUAUGUGGAGGAAUACCGAUGGCGAAGGCAGCCUCCUGGGCCAACACUGACGCUCAUGCACGAAAGCGUGGGGAGCAAACAGG
rnacentral:rRNA from 1 species